rnacentral:rRNA from 1 species
GAUUAUGGCUCAGGACGAACGCUGGCGGCGUGCUUAACACAUGCAAGUUGAACGGUAUGACAUGGAAGCUUGCUGAAGUGUCAUAUAGUAGCGGACGGGUGAGUAAUGCAUGAGAAGCUGCCAUUGGGAGGGGGACAACAGUUGGAAACGGCUGCUAAUACCCCGUAUGCCGGAAGGUGAAAGGGAGCGAUCCGCCCGAUGAGGUGCUCAUGUCCUAUCAGCUGGUUGGUGGGGUAACGGCCUACCAAGGCGACGACGGGUAGCCGGCCUGAGAGGGUGAACGGCCACACUGGAACUGAGAUACGGUCUAGACUCCUACGGGAGGCAGCAGUGGGGAAUUAAUUGGGCAAUGGGGGCAACCCUGACCCAGCGACGCCGCGUGGGGGAAGACGGCCUUCGGGUUGUAAACCUCUUUUGUACGGGAAGAAGGAAGUGACGGUACUGUACGAAUAAGUCCCGGCUAACUACGUGCCAGCCGCGGC